AUUGAACGCUGGCGGCAUGCUUUACACAUGCAAGUCGAACGGCAGUACAGCAGGGGUAACCCUGUGGGUGGCGAGUGGCGAACGGGUGAGUAAUACAUCGGAACGUACCCUGUUGUGGGGGAUAACUACGCGAAAGCGUAGCUAAUACCGCAUACGCCCUGAGGGGGAAAGCGGGGGACCCUAAAUACAGCGCACGGUUAAGGGUGUUGUAUUUAGGGCCUCGCGCGAUAGGAGCGGCCGAUGUCGGAUUAGCUAGUUGGUGGGGUAAAGGCCUACCAAGGCGACGAUCCGUAGCUGGUCUGAGAGGAUGAUCAGCCACACUGGGACUGAGACACGGCCCAGACUCCUACGGGAGGCAGCAGUGGGGAAUUUUGGACAAUGGGGGCAACCCUGAUCCAGCCAUGCCGCGUGAGUGAAGAAGGCCUUCGGGUUGUAAAGCUCUUUCGGACGGAAAGAAAUCGCUUCGGAUAAUACCUGGAGUGGAUGACGGUACCGUAAGAAGAAGCACCGGCUAACUACGUGCCAGCAGCCGCGGUAAAAC
rnacentral:rRNA from 1 species